rnacentral:lncRNA from 1 species
UCCACAUAUGACAGGAGAUAUCAUACAAAUACAUAAUGAAAUAAAAUAAGAAAAUUGUGCGAUACACAAACACCCAUGCAAUAGUAAAAUCAUCCAUUCAAGCCAGACGGGUCUUAUUUAGAAGAUAUAAGAAACAAACUUUAUCAUGACAAGAUCUAGCUAUUAUUUAUUAAUGACCCGUAGAAUGCGUUUUAAAUAACUACUAGGUAGCUAGAUAGCUAGAUAGUAAUUAAUUAUCCUGAUUUAGUGAGGAGUUCUUGUGCCUUUAUCUCAAAGGAGAAAGGUUUUCCGUUGGGUGGAGGGGUUGCAGAGUCAUUAGCAUUCCAAAUAAAAAUGCCACGAAGUGAUUCAGCAUCGAGGAGAUCGAUAACACCCUCAAGGAAGUCUUCUCGUGAAAUUUUACCUGCGUCAUCUGGAUCAGUACUAGCUCCUGCCAGAAGUUUUUUAGAACCGUAGACGUCUGAUAGACUAAGAAAGAUAUUUUUAAACUCAUCCUUUGAUUUGAGAGUCUCAAAGUAGAACUGAUAGUCCACCCAAUCAAUAUAAUCAUGGCGAGCCAAAAAUAGUGUAUGGUACUUGGAAUUGACUGGUUUAGAUGGAGCAAUGGAAACCACAUCGACAGAUAGAUCAGUAUCCUCCUUGAGUCUCUUUAUAACAUCCCCCACACCAGAAGAGAAAUCUCCACCAUCGGAUGUGAUGUACUCAUAGUUGAUAUCAAUGCCAUCUAUUAUGUUAAAGCUCCAAGGAUCCUUGACUUCGUUGUAUUGCUGCAUGAUCUUUUUGAGUGAGUUUACAGCAUUGUAAGGCCAUUCUACUUUUGAAGCAGGAUUGAAUGGAUGUUUAUCACCACGACCACCGAUGCUUAUUACAACCUUCACAUUUUUAUGAGUUUACAGCAUUGUAAGGCCAUUCUACUUCUGAUUUUGCUUGAGUUCCUUCACUUUUUCAGGACUGAAGAAAUGAACGUUCCAAUUUGGGUUGAAAACUCCUGUGCCUUUUCCACUAUCAUCGUAAGUCUCUGUGGCAAAGCCUUAAAUGAAGUGGAAUUGGUGGAUCUUGGAGUUGAUGAUAUCAGUUGGGAAAUUAUGUAAAGUGUCUGGAUAUGGCUUCACGCCAAUGUAUUCUCGAAAAAUGAUUGGCUUCACAUCACUGUCUUUGAUUUGACGAGAAUCAGACAUUGUGAUAAAAAUUUGAAUUUGGAUUGAUCUCUUUUGUUGGUUUAGAUAUUUGUGGUAUUGUUGGGUGAAAUAAGCAUCUCUUGAUGCCCUUUUAUAAGUCGGUAGUACCGAGUAUCGAACUCAAGAAUUGCGUUUUACUAUCAAAUUAAAAUUAAUUACUAAAAUUGAACAAAAAGUUUCCAAGUUGAUUGAAAUAAUAUUUAAAAUUAAUAACAGUAAUAAAAUUGAUCAUUUAUAAUAAGCAAAAUGUGAGGGAUGAGUUUCACUUCGAAUCCAUCCUUGGUGUCUAAUUUGAUCCUAGUUAUUGAAUUCCUUUAUUGAAUUAUUAUCGAAUUCUCUUUAUUAUACUGGCCCUAAUGUCUUAGUGACAAAACCUUUAACUCCAAAGUAACCCCUAAUUCCUUAGUGGAUUUAAGAUUAGAAUUAAGUAUUACCGUACAUGAAUUUUCAUGUUAAACUAUUGUCUCUGCAACUAAUUUAAUUGGUUUCAUGACCUGAAUCUAUCCGUAGACUACGAAUUCAUGAAUUUCUUAUCUCAAGCAUUCGUAAAGUCCACUUCCGUUUCAAAAUACAAAUCAUUGAACAUUUGAAUGUUGAUCAAGCAAUAAAAAGCAUUAAGCACAAACAUGAGAAAAAUAAUUCAAUAAACUCAUUCAUCUAAAUAGAAAUCAAAUUUGAAAAAUAAGGGUUUCAUCUUGUUACACUCAUCCCUAACAAAUAGGGUUUAGUUACUCAUGACAGAGAUAGAAAAGAUAGAGAUUAGAGAAGAAUUACAAGAAAGGUCAUGAAUGAUUCUUGAUAAAACUGCUCCAAUGGUGUUAGAAACAACCGUCUUUGAGUUUUUAUGCUAAGGCACAAGUCUCUCAACUUCCCAAUAGUCAAAAAGAUGCCUAAACAGUGAAAGUUUGCGUUUUUAAUUAAUGUUGUCGCGUCCAUGCGCCCCAGGCGCACGCUGGCAGUGCUGAAAGGCAAGAGAUGCGCCUCAGGCGCGACUGUUGCGCUUCAGGCGCACAUCAUCUGCUAUAUGACCUAUACUGCAUUCGGACAUUUACAACUCUAGAUAUGGCUGAAAUCCUUCACAUAGGUCACGUUGAUUUCUCACCAAAAUUCAGCACUGCACUAAAACAAAACGCAAUUUAAAAUUACAAAAAAAUCCCUACUUAAUCAAUGAAAUGAAAACACAAACAUUUUAUUACCUUAAAGAACAAAAAUAAACAAAAUAUAUCAAAUAACUCCUUAAUUUAACCAAUAAUUAAAGAUAAAUAAGACUAAAACAAUGAAAAAUAUGCAUAUGAUGAAGAUUUAUCACAUCCCAAACUUAAUCUAUUGAUUGUCCCCAAGCAACAAUUAAUUUCUCAAACUCAAACUUGGUACAGUUAAACUCAAACUUAAACUCAAUUUCUUAAAUCAAAUCAAACUCAAUUAUCAAAGUUCCAGCUGCUUCAAAACAUUUAUCAUGCUCCAUGGUUGCUUACGAAAAAAAAAAAAACACAAUUUGUAUACUUUAGCAUUCAUUCAUCAAGUUCAACUCUCUCUUCACACAAUCUCACCAAAAUUUCUCUCAAGUGUUUAACAAGGGUUAUGAAUUUAUCACUCAAAUUUUAGAACAUGCAUCACGCUACCAUAGGCUUUAAAAAAUUAUAGUUAGCAACCACAAUGCAGCAAACACAUACACUUUUGGAGAACUUUCGGGUUGCAAUGGGACUUAGGUAAGAGUACGACAUUUUGAAAUAGUAGGCUUUACUACUUGGAUUUAGGCAUACAUUUUCAAAUUAUUCUACCAUGUUUUAUUUUUGUUCACCUUUUCAUUGUGGAGAUUCUCAAACAUUGACAAAAGAACCAAGAAGAUAUUAUUUAUCAAAGUACACAAAAUAUUUUUUUUUUUGUGAGAAUCACCACCCCAAACUUAAAAGGUUGCUAUCCCAUGAGCAACCCCAAACUUAGCACUUUAUCAAGACAAGAAUUUUUUUUUUUUACCUAACUUCACAUAAGGUGAUUUAAUUAAAGUUAGGUCUUUGGCUUAUAAUGUGGCUAGUGACCGAAAUAAAAGGGAAAGGCUCAAAUGGGCUAGCAAAGGGUAAAAGUUGUAUAGGGUAAUUAGAAAGGCACAAACAACCAAACAAAAUUGCCCCAGUAUAUGCAUAAAUUACAAGUGAUGCAAGUCAGAAGUAGUGUAAGUUCUGAACGGAUAACACAUGUCUGGAUAAUCACACAACAAAUGAUUAAAGUGUUUAGGCCCAAAAGCUCACAAUUAGGAUAAUAAGAGAGAGUGUGAACAAUUAAAAUAAUGUCAAACAUGCCACUGAAAAGUUAAAAUUGUAUUUUUGAAAAAUUGAUGGCAUAUUAGCCUUCUACAAUCACUUAGUAAUAAAAAAUGUAGCAUUAGGAAGACUUGUCGACUUGAGCAAUAACAUAAUCUAAGAAAUAGAAUUUAACUUUCGAAAUCCCAAAUAGAGAACUUAAGAUCAAAUGCAAGUUAUUACAACUUCUUCAUCAUAGUACACAUUUAGUGAAAGGAAAAAAUAAGGAAAAUAAUAAUAAUAAAAUAAAAUAAAAUUCGACAAUUGAAAUAAGAAAAAGAAAAAAAAACAAAGAAAGAAAAAAAAAAAGGAAAGAAAACUUCUCUCAGUUUAGUAAUUCAAGGGGACUUGUUUAGGUCCUCCACUCCUAUACCACUAUGGUCGCCUGUAUAUUGGUGAUGUGAAAAUAAAUCAGCAUAAAACAUGCCUCCUAGUGUCUGUUGAGAAGAAGCGAAGGCUCGAUACAGAUUGGUCAUCCCCAGUUCUAUUCUGGUUUGUCCAUCUCGCCGAUCGAUCAUCAAUUGUUCCAUCAUAGUUUCCAGUCUGCCACAUAUUUCCUCGGUGGAGAGCUCUGAUGGAUGUGGAGGGUGGUGAUGUGGUUCCUGUGGUUCAGUAUUUUCCUCUGCCGUCAUCGCUGCUUGUGGGGCACCAGGAUAGUCUGCCAGAAUCAUAAAGUGCUUUUCUAUCCACUUAGCAGUGAUUGGAGUAGCAGGUUUCACCAUUUCUUCACCCUGUUUAGGUGAUACUCUCACCUGCUCACAUAGUUUACUUAUCAGGGAAGCGUGAUGGAAGUAGCCUGUCAGAGGAUCAAGAAUUGUUGUCCCCCAAAGAUCAUGAGCUAGUAACAUGCCCAUAUUAAUUAUGUCGCCUUUUAUGAUAGAAGUUAGUAGACAUGCUCUCUGAAAUGUUAUAUCUGACACAUUCGAACAUGGUAGUAGCGUAUGAUGAACAAAGGUACUCCAUGCUUUUGCAAUUGGGGUGAGAUCCAAUGAGCGCAGUUUCCUAACUAAGCCAUCUCUAUUUCGUAUCCAAUAUGUGCCAGGUCUGCAUAAAAUGCGCAGGAUCUUCUGAGUGUCUACUUUUAUAAUGUGGUCUUCCAUAGCUUGAAAACGGCAAUCCUUAUAGUUCGGUAGACCAAAAAAUUCAUUGAUGACUUGAGGCGUGAAGGGCAUCCUUUUUCCCCUCACAUAACUCACAAAUUGAUCAUGUGGAAAUGGUUUGUCAGACUUCAGAUCAGAGGUAUUGGAGAAGAAUUUCACUGCUAAUGAUUUUCUCGCUGUGGUGACGAAUGUGGUCAACUUCUCCCAUCCUCUAGCAGCAAUCAUCGCCUGGAUGUCAACAAAUUCACCUGGCUUCCAACUUAAAAUUUUUAUCACUCACAAACUUCUUGACUGCAGGGAGUUUGGCAUGAAACUCUUGUGUUUCCAUGGUCUUGAAUAAGAAUGUAUUGUGUGGUUGGGAGGAAGAUGUAUUUGCGAUCUUAUUUCAUUUUGUUUUUUGUUGGAUUGCCAUUAGGUCCUGCAAAACAAUUAUUCACAUCCAGAGUUCAAAAUAUUACAGGUUAGAGGUAAUUAGUUUAAGCAUGUGUCCCCUUGGAAAAAUAACUACAUCAAUUUCCCUGAGUUUAUCCAACAAAAUUCUGAAUGAUAACAAUGCAUAUAGAUUGGUUGUGUCAUUUUCUCAAACAGUUGGAGUGUAGUACAGAUUUUGUGGUAACUAGGAUUCAAAAGUGGUUGUGUCAUUUUAACAAACAGGUGGAAUGCAAGCAUGAAAUACAUGAACAAUCCACAGUCAUAAGUGACGAUUUCUAACAUUAACACACAUUCGAUCUCAGACAACCAACAUGCAUGUAUGAAUUUUUUUUAAUACUAGCACAAAUUCAAAUUUAAAGAACCCACAUGCAUCAAUGAACAAGGAGGAGUUGAUAGUAACAAUUGGAGAAAACUUACUUGAGGAUGGAAGAAUGUUUGAUAGGAGAGGAAAACUGAACUUUGUUGAUAAUGGAGGAAGGCUUGGAGAGGUAAUAAAGAUGUGUGUAUCAGUUAACUCUUGUGGGAGGGGAGAGUUAUGUGAGAAAACAAGGGUUUUAAACCCAGCAAUGUGCUUCAAGCGCAAGGGACGCGCUUUAGGCGUGCGCUGACAGUAACAAAACACAGGAAAUGCGCUUCAAGUGCAAGGGACGCGCCUCAAGCGCGUGCAAGCAGUGAUAAUUUCAGCUAAAUGCACUUCAAGCACAGACGACGUGCCUCAGGCGCGUUGGCAAUAUCAAACUUCUGAGAAAUGCACUUCAAGCGUUGAGGCCGCGCUUCAGACAUGCGCUAACAGUAGCAAAAUCUGAGAUGCGCUUCAAGCGCUGAGGCCACACUUCAGGCGCGCGCUAACAACAGCAAAAUCUGAGAAAUGCGCUUCAAGCAUUGAGGCUGCGCUUCAAGCGCAAAUGAUGCCAAUCCGAAUAGUAAAAUCAAUUCCCAACACAUCUUUUUGAUUCUUUGCUCAUACCAAACAUCAAGAACUAAUACAACUAGCAGUUAAAAACUAAAAUUGAAACCAAAUAGAGUAAAAUGAAACUGAAAUGGAAAAAAUACCGUGUGAAGGAUACGAAUUUGGGUUGCCUCCCAAUAAGCGCUCGUUUAGUGUCUUGAGCUUGACAUUCCACUCUUCAAGUGGUGAUCAGAUUGAUGGACUCCAUCAAGAGUUUUGACUCUACCCCUAAAUAAGAUUUGAGCCUUUGUCCAUUCACCUUGAAGCUCCGAUUUGAGUGUGUAUCUUUCAACUCCACAACACCGUAUGGAAAUACUUUGAUUGUCUUAAAAGGGCCCGACCAUCUUGACUUUAGUUUUCCUGGAAACAACUUCAAUCUUGAGUUGAAUAAAAAAACUAGUUCUCCUUCUUGGAAUUUCUUGAAUUUAAUUUUUUGGUCAUGCCAGUUCUUGGUUUUUUCUUUAUAUAUCUUGGUGUUCUCAUAUGCAAAAUUUCGGAACUCCUCUAACUCGUGAAGCUAAAGAAUUCUUGACUCACAUGCCUUGACCAAGUCAAAAUCCAAGUACUUCGUCGCCCAAAAUGCUCGAUGCUCCAGUUUGAGAGGCAAAUGCCAGGCUUUACCGUACACGAUUUGAUACGACGACAUACUAAAGGAGGUCUUAAAAGUUGUUCAGUAGGCCCAAAGUGCACCAUCAAGUUUCGUUGACCAAUCUUUUUGUGAGGCAUUCACUAUCUUUUCAAGGAUUCGCUUAAGCUGUCUGUUGGAUACUUCAACUUGCCCACUAGUUUGUGGGUGAUAUGGGGUUGCCACCCUAUGACGUACAUUAUAUUUCCUUAGAAGGUAUUCUAUUUUCCGGUUCAGAAAGUGAGUGCCCUCGUCAUUAAUCAAAGCUCAAGGCACGCCAAAACGCGCGAAUAUGUUCUUCUUGAGAAAUGUGAUGACAUGUUUUGAAUCAUUGGUUGGAGUAGCAACUACUUCAACCCAUUUUGAGACAUAAUCCACCGCCACCAAAAUAUAAAUUUUUUUAUAUGAGGAUGGGAAUGGACCCAUGAAGUCAAUACCCCACACAUUGAACACUUGUACUUAUAAUACAGGAUUUUGCGGCAUCUCAUCCCAUUUUGAAAUGUUACCGAUGUGAUGGCAUCGAUCGCAUUUCUUCACAUAGUUGAAUGAAGGGUUCAUCCCAUACAUAGAAUUUGGCAUCAUGGAUAAACUUCUUUCGUUGUUGGUAAGUGAAAUCAGAUGGAAUUGCCUCACCUACCUUAAAAUUAGCAAAGUCGGCGAACCAAGGUGCCUUGGCAAUAGCGAAGAUGUGCUCAUCAACAAAUUGGUCUCGAAUCAGUCUAAUGUCCUUAUUCUCAUCAACUUUCUCCAAUCGAGAUAGGUGGUCAUCUACAGUGUUCUCUGAUCCCUUCUUAUCUCGGAUCUCAAUGUUGAAUUCUUGUAGUAAUAGAAUCCAUCUAAGUAUCCUUGGUUUCGAUUCUUGCGUAGUAAACAAAUACCUCAAGGUAGCAUGAUCAGUGUAAACAAUAACUUUCGAUUCUAAUAAAUAAGAUCGAAACUUAUCAAAAGCAUAAACUACAGCUAAUAAUUCUUUUUCAGUUGUGGCAUAAUUGUGUUGUGCCAGAUUUAAAACAUGACUAGCGUAGUAGAUUACAUGCAACAUCUUGUCUUUUCUUUGUCCCAAGACUGCCCCAAUAGCAUUGUCACUUGCAUCAAACAUGAUUUCAAAAGGUAGUGAUCAGUCAGGUGCAGUGAUAAUGGGAGCAGUUAUCAACUUAUUUUUCAAAUUGUUAAAAGCAUGCAAACAAUCCUCAUUGAAUUUGAAAGGUGUGUCUUUCACAAGUAGGUUUGUAAGCGGUUUUGCAAUUUUAGGAAAAUCUUUUAUAAAUCUCCUAUAAAAUCCAGCAUGGCCUAAAUAGGUUCUAAUGCCUUUUUCAUUGGUAGGAGGGGGAAGUUUUUCAAUAACUUCAACUUUGGCCUUGUAUACCUCGAUCCCCUUGUGGGAGAUUCGGUGGCCUAACACAAUUCCCUAUCUUACCAUAAAAUGAUAUCUUUUCUAGUUUAGGACCAAGUUGGAUUUUUCACACCUUUCUAAUACAAGAGAUAGAUUAAUCAAACAAUUAUCGAAAUAUGAACCAAAGACAGAAAAGUCAUUCGUAAAUACUUCGAUAUGUUUCUCAAUCAUAUCAUAGAAUAUGGACAUCAUGCACCUUUGAAACGUGGCAGGUGCAUUACACACCCCAAACGGCAUUCGUCGAUAAGAAAACACCUCAAAUAGACAUGUAAAUGUAGUUUUUUCUUGAGCCUCGGGUGCCACAGCUAUCUGAUUGUAUAUCGAAUAGCCAUCUAGGAAGCAGUAAUACUCAUGUCUGGCUAGCCGCUCAAGCAUCUGAUCAAUGAAAUGGAGCGGAAAAUGAUCCUUCCUCGUAGUACUGUUCAAUCUUUUAUAGUCAAUACAAACUCUCCAGCUUGUAACCGUUCGUGUAGGAAUUAGCUCGUUCUUUUCAUUUGUGAUGAUGGUCGUUACACCCUUUUUUGGUACAACUUGGACGGGACUCACCCAAGAUCUAUCUAAAAUGGGGUAAAUGAGACUGACUUCUAAGAGCUUUACCAUUUCUUUCCUAAUCACUUCUUUCAUUGGUGGAUUCAAUCGUUUUUGGGGUUGUACAACCGAUUUGUGAUUGUCCUCCAUUAGGAUUUUGUGCAUACAAAAAGUUAAACUUAUUCCUUUCAAGUCCUCAAUGGACCAACCGAUGGCCCCCUUAUGCUUCCGCAGAAUUCUCAACAACUUUUCUUCUUGUAACUCACUCAAGCUUGCACUAACUAUGGUUGAAUUCUUAUCUUUUUCACCCAGGAAUACAUAUUUCAAAUGAGGAGGUAACUGCUUGAGUUCAAUCAGUGGUGUAUUUUUCUCUGAGCUCUUUCUAAUGGAAAACUGGGUAUUUGAUGCUCCAUUUCUUCGUUGACUAUCGCAUCUAAGAUCUCGAUUCGAUUGCACCCUUCUCUUUCUUUUGAAUGUUCCAUGGCUUUUAGAAUGUUAAAAGUGACGGUUUCUUCAUUUACUUUUAAGGUUAAGGUGCCAUCUGCUACAUCAAUCAUAGCUCGCCCUGUUACUAAGAACGGUCUCCCCAAAAUCAAAGGAAUGUAAUUGUCCUCAUCCAUAUCUAGUACCACGAAAUCCACUGGAAAAAUGAACUUACCCACUUUAACCAACACAUCUUCCACCACUCCAUAUGGAUGUUUCAUUGAGCGAUCCACAAACUGUAACAUCAGUUGUGUGUCUUUGACUUUUCCAAUGCCCAACUUUUUGUAUAUGGAAAGGGGCAUAAGACUUACACUAACCCCAAGAUCACACAAAACCUUCUCAAAAGUUUUAUUUCCAAGAGCGCACGGGAUUGAUAAGCUUCCAGGAUCCUUGAGCUUCGGUGGCAGCUUCCUCUAUAGUAUAGCACUACUCUCUUCGGUAAGCAUCACUAUUUCAGCGCCGAUUUUUCUUUUCUGCAAUUUUUUAAAAACAUCAAGAAAUUUGCCGAAUUGUUUUUCCAUUUCUUCCUUUUUUAAUCUUUGAGGAAACAGAAGUCGAUUUUCUGGUGUUGGCAGUGUCUCCUUUUUUCUACGCCACAUGUUCUUCUUCCUUUUCAAGAGCGAUGUGCUCCUCAACUGAUGUCGGGGUUACCAUUUCCUCCGAGUGGGUCGAAGUUGAAGUACUUCCACUUUGUUUGGCUUUAGGUGGUACUUGUUCACUUACCUUACCAUUCCUCGUUGUCACGACAUUGACAUUAUUUCGCGGAUUUGGAACUAUGUCACUAGGCAUAUUUCUAGGCGCUCUUUAUGCCAUUUGUUGAGCAAGUUGAUCCAAUUGGGUCUCCAGAUUAUUUAUUGAUGCAGAGUGGUUUUUCUGGAUGGCUCUUGACUCUUCAAUGAAAGAACUUGUGUUUGCUACUAACUUCUCAAUAGCACUCUCCCAAGCAGGUUUUCGAGGUGGAGCCUGAUUUGCUUGAGCUCCUUGAUGACCUUGAGAUCCACCCUGUUGAUCUUUCCACGAAAAAUUUGGGUGAUUUCUCCAUCCAGAGUUGUACAUACUAGAGUAGGGAUUACUUUGCUUCCCGUUAUUACCCACAAAAUUCACCUCUUCUAGUUCUUUUAUAUCAUUUUCAUCCAGUGAUUCACAAGCUCCAUUUUUAUGUGCUCCCCCACAAAAGUCAAAACCAGUAUGUUUCAAUAAUUUGACAGAGGUCACUUGGGUUGUAUAAUUAGAGCUACCAUCCCUUUCUUUAUCUCAGCGGCGAUAACAUCUUCUAUCUGUUUUGAGAGCAACCUGCCUCGAGCCAACCCAACAUCAAUAACAUUCAGUUCCAAUAUACCACUUGUUGACCUUCCACCUCUAUCAUACAACAUCGUUUGUUCAUUUGAUGCCAUGAUCUCAAUAAUUUUUCGUGCUUCUGAUGCGGUCUUGUAAUUCAAAGAACCCCUGCUGUAGCAUCCAACAUAAUUCUCGUGUUAGGCCUCAAACCGUUACAGAAUAUCUGCAUAUGAGCAAUGUCGUCAUAAGCAUGAUUGGGGAAUCCUGCUAGUAAACUCUUGAACCUCCUUUAAGUGUCAAGAAGAGGUUCUUCUUCUUUCUAUUUGUAACUAGAAAUCUCUUGCCUCUUUCUAACGAACACAGCUGGGGGAAAGUAUUAUUCCAAGAAUUUAUCUUCAAGGUCAUCCCAUGUGGUGAUGUUAUCGGCAUGAAAUGAAUUAAGCCACUCCUUAGCAUCAUCUUUCAAUGACAAUGGAAAUAAUUUCAACCUCUUGCCUUCUUCAGAACAAAAUCACCCAAAACCUCUUCUUCCACUCCUAACUAACUAUCUUUCCCUUUGUCUCCUUUCUCGAGCCGCCUUUCGAUUUGCUUUUGCAGUUUUUUCGAUUUCUGGAUCAAAGAUAAGUUUCGCUGAGGACUGGCCUCGCAUUCAAGGUUAGACAAAUUGUGAGUAAUGAAGAGUUUUAAAAGAAACAACAAUAAUAAUUAAAAUAAAAACAAAAAUUUUAUUGCAGAGCAAAAAAUUUCAAUUAAGUAAAUAAAUUAAAUUCAAUAGUGAUAUGGCAAUCCACGGCAACGGCGCCAAAAACAUGAUAGCGUUUCAGCAAGUGUACUGAAUCGUUGCAAGUAAUAAUAAAACGGUAGUAGUGAGUGUUGAACUCAAGGAUUGUGUUUUACUAUCGAAUUAAAAUUAAUUACUAAAAUUGAACAAAAAGUUCCCAAGUUGAUUGAAAUAAUAUUUAAAAUUAAUAACAGUAUUGAUGUCUAAUUUGAUCCUAGUUAUUGAAUUCCUUUAUUGAAUUAUUACCGAAUUCUCUUUAUUAUUCUUGCCCUAAUGUCUUAGUGACAGAACCUUUAAUUCCAAUGUAACUCCUAUUUCCUUAGUGGAUUUAAGAUUAUAAUUAAGCAUUACUGUACAUGAAUUCUCUUGUUAAACUAUUGUCUCUGCAACUAAUUUAACUGGUUUCAUGACCUGCAUAUCCCAAGACUACGAAUUUAUGAAUUUCUCAUCUCAAGCACUCGUAAAGUCCACUCCCGUUUCAAAAUAUGAAUCGUAGAACAUUUUAAUGUUGAUCAAGCAAUAAAAAGCAUUAAGCACAGAGAUAAGAAAAGUAAUUCAAUAAACUCAUUCAUAUAAAUAGAAAUCAAAUUAGAAAAAUAAGGGUUUCAUCUUGUUACACUCAUCCCUAACAAAUAGGGUUUAGUUACUCAUGACAGAGAUAGAAAAGAUAGAAAUUAGAGAAGAAUUACAAGAAAGAUCCAUAAAUGAUUCUUGAUAAAACUGCUUCAAUGGUGUUAGAAACAGUUGUCUUUGAGUUUCUAUGCUAGGGCACAAGUCUUCCAACUUCCCAAUAGAAAAAAAAAUGCCUAGAAAGUGAAACAUUGCGUUUUUAAUGAAUAAUCUCGUGUCCACGCGCCCCAUGCGCAGAAAACGCGCUUCAAGCGCACGCUGGCAGUACAACAUCUACUGUCUAACUUAUACUACAUUUUUCUCCUCUUUCGAGUAUUAAUGUGGUUCCGGUUUCUUUAUGAAAGUUGUAGCUAUGGACAUUAGCUUUCGUUUGCACGUAGUUUGGAAUCCAAUUGCACGUAGUUUGCACCGUUUUCAAAUAGAUUUUUUUACAAUUAAAAUAUUUAUAAGCUUGUUAUAAAAUGCACACAGAGUUUAGAGGAAAUUAUUCGAACAUAAUAUAUUAUUUUACACUUUUAAGUAUAACAUAUGUUCUUACAUAUAUACUCUCCUUCUAAAGUAAAACUGAUAUAUUUGUAUGACAUUUUAAAUUUCUAAACCCGCAAACCCUGCUGUGACAUAAAAUAUAUAUAUAUAUAUAUAUAUAGUAUUUCUCUCUAUUGUUGAAGUAUAAUCAUUGGUUUAUGCAUUACUUUUAAUAAAAAUAUUUAUAGCGAGCAUAUUGUUUUUUAGUUUUGUUUUGUAUAUAGUUGUAUUUUAUGUAUUGAAAUGAUGCGAUGUGAUAAAGUUUUUUGAUUUUUUAGAUGUUGAAUUAUUUAAAACUAAAUUACAAUUUUAAGUAUUCAAAAAAUUUAUCAUCAAAAGGUUUCUUUAUGAGUUUCCUAAAUUUAUAAUAUAGCUUUUAUGCUUCUGAAAUUAAAAAUAAUAUAGCAGUAACUACAAAAUAUGAUAAAUAAAAGAAAUUUAAAAAUCUUAACACACUUUGCAUACGGAUCUUUCAGUUGUCUUGGAUAUUCGUAAGGUUUAUGGAGUAAUUGUUUAGAAAGCAUUGCUAUACGUUGAGGUUUGUUUGAAACCUCUAUAUAUUUUAAUAAUUUGUACAUUGAUAAUAUAUGUUUAAAUUUAGAGUUUUAUAGAGAUAAUAAUAUUGGUUUUUUUUAUCAUAAACACAUAAAGAUCGAUCGCCCAUGUUAUUUGUUCUUAUGAUUGAGUUUUGAAAGGACACGGUGAUACAUGAGAACCAACAUACUUAUAUAUAAACAAACAUAAAAUAAAAUAUAUAAAAAAACCCACAUAUGACAGGAGAUAUAAUACAAAUACAUAAUGAAAUAAAAUAAGAAAAUUGUGCGAUACACAAACACCCAUGCAAUAGUAAAAUCAUCCAUUCAAGCCAGACGGGUCUUAUUUAGAAGAUAUAAGAAACAAACUUUAUCAUGACAAGAUCUAGCUAUUAUUUAUUAAUGACCCGUAGAAUGCGUUUUAAAUAACUACUAGGUAGCUAGAUAGCUAGAUAGUAAUUAAUUAUCCUGAUUUAGUGAGGAGUUCUUGUGCCUUUAUCUCAAAGGAGAAAGGUUUUCCGUUGGGUGGAGGGGUUGCAGAGUCAUUAGCAUUCCAAAUAAAAAUGCCACGAAGUGAUUCAGCAUCGAGGAGAUCGAUAACACCCUCAAGGAAGUCUUCUCGUGAAAUUUUACCUGCGUCAUCUGGAUCAGUACUAGCUCCUGCCAGAAGUUUUUUAGAACCGUAGACGUCUGAUAGACUAAGAAAGAUAUUUUUAAACUCAUCCUUUGAUUUGAGAGUCUCAAAGUAGAACUGAUAGUCCACCCAAUCAAUAUAAUCAUGGCGAGCCAAAAAUAGUGUAUGGUACUUGGAAUUGACUGGUUUAGAUGGAGCAAUGGAAACCACAUCGACAGAUAGAUCAGUAUCCUCCUUGAGUCUCUUUAUAACAUCCCCCACACCAGAAGAGAAAUCUCCACCAUCGGAUGUGAUGUACUCAUAGUUGAUAUCAAUGCCAUCUAUUAUGUUAAAGCUCCAAGGAUCCUUGACUUCGUUGUAUUGCUGGAUGAUCUUUUUGAGUGAGUUUACAGCAUUGUCAGGCCAUUCUACUUUUGAAGCAGGAUUGAAUGGA